rnacentral:rRNA from 1 species
UGCGCAGGCGGUUUCGUAAGACAGAUGUGAAAUCCCCGGGCUUAACCUGGGAACUGCAUUUGUGACUGCGAGACUAGAGUACGGCAGAGGGGGGUAGAAUUCCACGUGUAGCAGUGAAAUGCGUAGAUAUGUGGAGGAAUACCGAUGGCGAAGGCAGCCCCCUGGGUCGAUACUGACGCUCAUGCACGAAAGCGUGGGGAGCAAACAGGAUUAGAUACCCUGGUAGUCCACGCCCUAAACGAUGUCAACUAGGUGUUGGGGGAGGAGACUUCCUUAGUACCGCAGCUAACGCGUGAAGUUGACCGCCUGGGGAGUACGGCCGCAAGGUUGAA